ensembl:lncRNA
GUAGUACUUUAUACUGUACUACAUGUGACCGCGGCAAGGCCCGGAUGGGUUCAAAAUUGACUAUGUACUUGACCUAUAAUACUGGCUUGUACCACUAAAAGCCUACAGAUUAUAGGGUAGCAGUGAAGGAUUUAUUGAGACCAAGGAUUACCCAAAGAUGACAAUACGUAUUACAAUAAAUACCAAGGUUACAAAGGGACGUCACCGAACGCGUGCAGCUCAAGGUGUGGCUUAUAAUGUGGGGGAAACUAAUUGGGAACCAGCGAGGAGGAGGGGCUAAGGCCGACCCAGCCCACCAGUAGCCAGGGAGGGACACUUCACAGCUCUUAUACUGUACUUAAACAUUUAACAUUUGACUAAUUUAUUAUACAGAACAAAAAGACUAUGAAAAAGCGGAAGAGGGAAGGAGCCAGGCCCAGAUGGAGGGUCGCCUCCGGGGUACACUUUGGGUUGUGGGGGGGAAAACUCUGACCGUUGUCUGUGCGUAUGCACCAGGUAUCCGGAAUCAGGAAUCAGGAAACAUUUAUUACCAUAAUAUGUCAGACGGGAAUGUGACUUGGCGGUUAGAGCGUAACAGCAGGCUGUACGACAAUGGACGACAAGAGAACAGUGCAUGAGGAAUAAAAUAUAAUACUAUGGGUUAGUUUAAAAAUAAAGGAAUAAAAGCUAAAAGUGGAAAAUAUUUGAAAAUGAAUGAAGUGCACCAGCGAAGAGAAAGUGACAAGUGAAAGUGACGUGUGCAGUGAGAAAGAAAGUGACUGGUGGGUUCGGGUUAGUCCGUCACCCGACUGCCGACGGGAAGAAACUGUUGGUGUGGCGGGAGGUCUUAGUUCUGAUGGCCCUCAGCCUCCUGCCGUCCACCAAACAAGAGUUUGUAUCCUUAUGGUUGAAUGCACUUAGUGUCGCUUUGGAUAAAAGCGUCAGCUAAAUGACAGUAUGAUGUAAACAGCAGCUCGGAGUAAAUGGCCUUUUUGGAGACCCUGAAUGGAGUUCUGCUUGGGGCUCCAGUCGCAGCCAAACUGACGCAUAUGGAGGCAAAUCACUGUCAAAAUUCAAGAGCGCAAAUCAGUUUGAUGCACGCGCGUAAAACAAACACCCGCGAGCAAAAGUCCGUGUCGCAUGAGCAAAUUUCUCGCGCGAGAUAUUUGCUCGCUCACGGAACGUGAACUUCUCGUGAAUCUCUGCAAAAACAAUCUCUACAGGUGUUUUCUACGCGCUCGCUGUUGUUCUUUUUGAUAGUCAGGGGGCGGAGCCAGCCACCAUGGUAUCUACAUCUGAUUGGUUACAAACCCCGUCUUUGGAUUGGCUGGAGUGAUGCAUUCACACAACUAUAGAAGCCCGUUUCCACACUGAAGAAAGGGGAUAGAAAGUCGAAAUUAUGAGAUAAAACGUUGUCAAAACACAAAUAACAGCACAAAGUCUUUCUCUCUGAGACAGACUUUUGCUCGCCGGUGAUUUACGCGCGAGCAUCAACUUGAUUUGCGCUCUCGAAUUUUGACAGUGAUUUGCCGCCAUAGACGCAUGCGGUCGACAAAUGCGACCUUAAGGAAGCAGCCGAGGGAAUUGAGACACACCCAAAUAGUCCAAAAAGUGACCUCAUAACGUCUAUUUCUAACCACUUGUCCUUGACCUCUGGAAAACUUCACAGAAAGAUGGUGAGGAGAAUUCAUGAGGAGUCAGAGAAUCUGACUCCACUUUCACUAAGCUGCGUAGUUUUGUUAGUGACGUCAGUCUGCAGCGGCGAAAUUUAAAUAUUGCCUGUGCAAGAAAUUGUUGGACGUAAUUAUCUCCUUUCCUUAACUUAAGGAAGUUGGUUAUUAUAAAGGAGUUAAGUAAGGAAGCAUUGAAGCUCCUUUCCUUAGCAUUAGAGAAUUUCGACAGCUCUUAUCGUGGCGGCCAAUAUUAUAUAUUAUACUGAAUUUCCUGUGAGGGUGACACAAAUAAGACUGUUAAACUUUUAUUUACAACUUUCUUUUGUGUUGCAAUAAAUGUUGAAUAUUGAAC